rnacentral:rRNA from 1 species
GGGGAAUAUUGCGCAAUGGGCGAAASCCUGACGCAGCAACGCCGCGUGGAGGAUGAAGGCUUUCGGGUUGUAAACUCCUUUCAGCAGGGACGAAACUGACGGUACCUGCAGAAGAAGCCCCGGCUAACUACGUGCCAGCAGCCGCGGUGAGACGUAGGGGGCAAGCGUUGUCCGGAUUUAUUGGGCGUAAAGAGCUCGUAGGCGGCUUGGCAAGUCGGAUGUGAAAUCUCCAGGCUUAACCUGGAGUCGCCAUCCGAUACUGCUAUGGCUAGAGUCCGGUAGAGGAUCGUGGAAUUCCUGGUGUAGCGGUGAAAUGCGCAGAUAUCAGGAGGAACACCAACGGCGAAGGCAGCGAUCUGGGCCGGUACUGACGCUGAGGAGCGAAAGCGUGGGGAGCGAACAGGAUUAGAUACCCUGGUAGUCCACGCCCUAAACGUUGGGCACUAGGUGUGGGGCCUAUUUCGACGGGUUCCGUGCCGUAGCUAACGCAUUAAGUGCCCCGCCUGGGGAGUACGGUCGCAAGGCUAAAACUCAAAGGAA